rnacentral:misc_RNA from 1 species
CACAUAGAGUAUGUAGGCUGCACCGCCAUCGCAGGCUGGAGUAUUUAUUACCCAUUGUCUUUUGCGUACCUUCGUUUUCCUGGGCGGGUUCGCCCGCCUCCAUGGACCACAUGAUAAACCAUUUUAUGCAGUUGCACUCAGCGUCAGUACAACAAAAUGUAAUCAUUUA